rnacentral:lncRNA from 1 species
GCGAGCGCCGCCCGCUCUCCUUCGCGUCGCCGCCGAAAGGCACCCCACACUCGCCUUCGGUAUUUCACCCUUGGAGACACUGCGCGCAAGGAGUUGGCAAAGGAACGAACGUCGGCGAGACGACGACAGCGGCGGCCGACCCGGCGCGCGCCGUCGCAGCCCCCGCAAUUGCAGCCGGCCGCGACUGCCAUCCGACUCAACGUCUUCGAGGUCACUGUUACAGUCAACGCCGGGUUAAAGCCCAACGCUGUCGGGAAGAACGCGACGAGACCCCGUAGAUGACGUCGUCUCCAAGAACGCUGUCCAGCUGAGAGGCUCUCUCAAAGUUGCCCGGUCCUCCUUGCCACCGGCGCAACUCCCCCUUCCUCCCCGCCCUCUGGCGACGCGGGCUACGCUGGUCCACCCCGGAUUCUGCGUGAAACGGGGAGGCGAUGGUGGCGCCGCUUCGAGCUCUGACGACGCGCAAGAUGGCUGCGCUGCCAAGGUGACGUCGUCGCCAGCGGCCAUUCCAGCAUGUGACCGAAUGAUUUCACUGCGGAGACGCAGUUAUCGAGACGCUAUGGCGCUCUUGGAAGCGUCGGAUUGUUGCAUCGUAUCAGCUCAGAACAGCUGUCCUGUUCUGCACAUGAAUGUCAUCGCUGCUUUACCUGGAACAGGGACGUAUUGCCAAGGUAGGUCUUCCUCGCUCACCUGGUACAAUA